rnacentral:rRNA from 1 species
GAAGAGCCGCAGUGAAUAGGCCCAAGCGACUGUUUAUCAAAAACACAGGUCUCUGCUAAACCGUAAGGUGAUGUAUAGGGGCUGACGCCUGCCCGGUGCUGGAAGGUUAAGAGGAGUGGUUAGCUUCUGCGAAGCUACGAAUCGAAGCCCCAGUAAACGGCGGCCGUAACUAUAACGGUCCUAAGGUAGCGAAAUUCCUUGUCGGGUAAGUUCCGACCCGCACGAAAGGCGUAACGAUUUGGGCACUGUCUCAACGAGAGACUCGGUGAAAUCAUAGUACCUGUGAAGAUGCAGGUUACCCGCGACAGGACGGAAAGACCCCGUGGAGCUUUACUGUAGCCUGAUAUUGAAAUUCGGCACAGCUUGUACAGGAUAGGUAGGAGCCUUUGAAACGUGAGCG